UACGUAGGGGCUAGCGUUGUCCGGAAUCAUUGGGCGUAAAGAGCGUGUAGGCGGUCCGGUAAGUCCGUUGUGAAGUCAGGGGCUCAACCCUUGAAUGCCGGCGGAUACUGUCGGGCUAGAGUCCGGAAGAGGCAAGUGGAAUUCCCGGUGAUAGCGGUGAAAUGCGCAGAUAUCGGGAGGAACACCUAUGGCGAAGGCAGCUUGCUGGGACGGUACUGACGCUGAGACGCGAAGCGUGGGGAGCAAACAGG
rnacentral:rRNA from 1 species